rnacentral:misc_RNA from 1 species
GAAAUGCGAUAAGUAAUGUGAAUUGCAGAAUUCAGUGAAUCAUCGAAUCUUUGAACGCACAUUGCGCCCGCCAGUAUUCUGGCGGGCAUGCCUGUCUGAGCGUCAUUUCAACCCUCAUGCCCCUAGGGCGUGGUGUUGGGGAUCGGCCAAAGCCCGCGAGGGACGGCCGGCCCCUAAAUCUAGUGGCGGACCCGUCGUGGCCUCCUCUGCGAAGUAGUGAUAUUCCGCAUCGGAGAGCGAUGAGCCCCUGCCGUUAAACCCCCAACUUUCUAAGGUUGACCUCAGAUCAGGUAGGAAUACCCGCUGAACUUAA